CAGGCAGCAAACUGUAGUGUAUAAAUAUCUCCUGCUCUUGCUACACUGUGUGAGUUGUCUGUUUUGCACUGUGGGAGGUACCCACACGUGUAAUGACUGCUCAUGGCAACCAUAGGGUUUUUUUAAAUCUUCAUGGUUUUUUGUUUUGCUGUUAACAUAUCCACUGGUAUGGAACUAAGUUUUAUCUAUAAAGUAAACUCGUCAAGAAUGGGUACACCAUCUUGAAUUAAGUUUUGAAACUACUGGAAAUGUUAGUCUUUUCCUUUGCCAUGUUCCUUUAUUUAUUUCAUAACAUGUAUAAGAUAAGGUUUAAAUUUUGCAGUGUUUGUUGUCCUUAUGUACACUUUUAUGUAUAUGGCAAUUCACUUUGUUGAAUGCAUUUUCUCUGAGGUUUUUAUGCACAUCAUAACAAACUUUCAUCGAUGCUUUCUACAUAUUCAUCACCCAACACUGAAGGUGAACAGGAAUUUUUAUCAGCUGCACUUCCUAUAUUAUGAAAACAUUUUGUUGAUAUAUUCAUCACAGAAGAAUCAGGAAAUUCGCACAUGAAGUGAACCUCACUGGUGAAGUAAGAAGAAAUAUUGGGUAAUGUUUAGCAACAGAUUCUCCAUGCAUAUGUGAAAAGACAUCAUCCCUUGACUGUCCAUGCACAAUUGGCACAAGCUAUGGAGAAUUCAGACAACUUAGAACCUGCACAUAUGUGCCAUAAUUAAUGCUACAUAUAUACCUGUAUAUUGAUUCUUUUGACCAAUAUUAAACCAUUAGUAAUUAAUCUUGUGACAAAUUACAUUCACUCAAUAUAUCAUGUUUCAGAGUAUAAUGUCAUUCUUUAUCAUCUUGCUUUGAAAGUUCUGAGAUGAAGCCUUGUGGAAUAAAUAUCUUAUUGACUUAGGACUAGUGUGAUAUUACUGGCUUUGUGUGGUUCGCUUUGAUGAAAUGCUUUUUUAUACAUUUAGCCUCAGAAGGCUAUACUGGAGCAAAUGCAUUAUUUUAUAACAUUCUCUAAUAUAAAUUUAUCUUUUAAAACCCAGAUGUAUAGUGUGAGGUUCUGGAAAUGAGACUGAAAACGUAUGAGAGUAUUUGUAGUUAUGGAUGUCUUAUGUUUAAUGUAGGAAUGAAAAAUGAAUAAUUUUUAUAACAAAAUAGAAGCUUUGAAACCAUCACAGAAUGAUGCAGAUACAUUAUGUAAGAUGAUAUCAAUUUUAUAUAGCUAUAGUUCCAAGGUAAGCUAACAUUUUCAGUGAUGCUGUAAAUAUUCCUUUGUAGUUCUUUGAUAGGUUAAUGGAUAAGAGUGUUGCUGAUAGUUCUGGAAAGGCCCAAAAUUGAAACUGUUCCUCUAAUAAACUCAGUUAUAUGGAUAAAGGUUUAUAGCAGGUUCACUUCCCUGUAUGUUGGUUUUUAUAUUUUACAUUUUGUGUUCUUGAUCGUGCAAGUGUCAUGUUCUCCAUUUAACUGUUGAAACCUAUUUGGCUAUCGAACAUUAACAUGUAAAGAUAUUAGAAGUGAAAUUCAGUGCUUGAUAUGCAAUAUUAUCUGGGUUUUCUGUUGUUUUGCUAUACCUUAUUAUAGUCUUCCUUUCUCUUACAUGUCACAAAACUGCUUUCAGUCAUACUUUAAACAGUCUUAUAUCUUUUUGUCUUAUAAAUUAUGAACUGAACAUAGAACAUACCAGAAAAGUUACUAAAAUUUCAGGGUUCUAUGUAACUGGAAACAUGUGUCUGACAUGUGCCUUAAUACAUGUUCAAAUUCAGGUGCAGAUUUGAGCAUGGCUUGAAUUAUAUCUCAGAGGAGAACCAACAUAUGUAAUUUUAAAAACGAUUAGUUCUUUCAUAAGGGUCUUAUUAUUGUCAACAUAGUUAUACAUGCCACCCUCAUAUCAUUGUACAUGCUGAAGCCACCCAUAAGCACAUGAUACUCAUGUUGCUUUGUUGUUAGCCAGUGUAGCUGCAAGCAAAGUUGAGAAUGACAUGUCAGAACUGUGAAGUUAAAUGACAUACAUUAUUAAUCAGUAAAGGGUUUUGGAUAGCCUUGAAGUCACCUUAUGGUUAUUUCUUUUUUAUUUUUAUUUAUUUUUCCAUUAGGUUUGAUCUUUAUGCUUGAAAUAAUUGUGAUGUGCUGAUAAAAUUAAUAAUAUUUAUCAUUGAAUUUGGGCUGCCUGAAGGUAGAAGUGGGUCCAGUGUUGAAGUAUGAGGUUUCGUUUACAGGAAAUGUUGACUGGAAGUGCAGCUGUAUCCCAGACGUUAUUUCCACGGAUAUUUCAUCUACUUCUUGUUUUGUCCAAUCAAAUGUUCAUCCAGUCUGUUUUAGGUUCUAUUUAUUUUUUGUCUCAAUUUCUGUAUCCAUAGGUCUUUCAUCUGAAUGAUAGUUUAUGCAGUAUUACGUAUUAUAUUUCGUUUUAUGUCCUAUGAGUCCCACCAAUGAAAUUAUAAUGGAACAUACCUACUCAACAGUGAAUUUGAAGUGCUGUAAUCCCUGAAUUACAGAGUGCCCUAUCAAUUUGUAACAUUCAUGCAUAAAUAUUUUUAUUGCCCUGAAAAUGAGUAUAAUUCAUCAGCACCAACUGCAGAAAGAUAAAUUGGCCAAUGAAUUAAUAUAACAACACAUUUUGAUGUUAACAGAAGUUGAUUAAUUGUCGCCUUCCUUGUCAUUUAGCUGUUCAGACUAUGAUUUGAUUUUAUAGCUGAUAACCUUCAGGACAUAUUAGUAUUGUUAUUGUUCUCUGUUAAGUACCUCUUUUUAUACUUUUCAAAUGUCAUAUCAAAACCAUGGGAGCACUUGUGUCUAAGUUGUUUCUGCAUAAACCACAAGAUUUUGUCAUCAUUCUACAGUCUUCAGGUCUAAAUUUACUGCAUGUCAUCAUAUUACUCAAUAUUCUCACUGAAAUAUGUCAUAGUGCAGUGUGGCAGUAGUUCAAAUGCAUUGCCUGUUGUUUGGACAUACAUAUGUGUUACUUUGUAUUUUCUAACACACUAUAUGUACACCAGCAGGAAUAUGUAAGUAUUACAAUUCCACGUACCAUAUAGAUCUGAUAGAAUAUUUGAGGUACUUUUUUAUAUAUUUCAUUACAUUAUAUAAUCUGCCUACAGUGAAAUGUUGUUGUCCUCUUUGUAUGUAAAAUAUGAGUAUUCUGAAGAGUUUUAUCUUCUGGGAUAUAAUGCCGUGUAGUCUGUUGAAAGUUAGCAAGUGUUUCAGAGAAACAUGUCUCCUCCUCCUUCAGGGUGAAAGAAAAAGCUGAGCAUGAAACCAGUAUGAAAGCAGAUGGCAAAAAUCCUCCAAACGUUAGUUGACUUUCAGUGGACUACUUUAUGUUAUAUUCCAAAAGGUGUAGCUCUUCAUAACCACUGCUGUGAGAACCUCAUAUCCUACAUAUGAGUAAUCUGGGUAAUCUCUUAGGAGAUGUUCAGUGUUCUGUUAUAUGAUGGUCUGGUGAGGCACUCCUGUAAUGAUCUUGGCAGUUGAGAUUGAUUUACAUUUUGUAGGCACUAGAUCACAUGAAGCAUGCUAUUUCUUCAAGGAAGUAUCAUAAACAACUCAUCUUGAGUUGUGAUGAUUUUGUCUUUCAGUAUAGCUGGUAGUGGUUGAUCAGGAUGCUGUUCAGUUCUGUGUUUAGGUGGGGCAAAAGUAUGUCUGACUGAGCUUCAGCCUGAUAAGCUUCAUGCUAAUGGGUUUCCUCCUUCAAAAUUACCACCUCAAUAUGUCAAAAGUUUCUUCUGGAUGUUAAUGUACUCACCAUAAUUUUGACUUGUUCAGAGUCUGAUGGAUAUCUUAAACAGCAUGUAAAAGAAUGUACUCCUUAAUUUAGUAUACAAAAUUCCCAGAGGCAUACCCUGCAGUUUAUUAAAUUUUCUUGUGGCUAGCUUUUAAAGUACAUUUCAGUAAAACACGAAUUUUGUAAGAUAGAAUGUGCAAAAUUUAUAUUUCAGCAGCAUGAUUAUUUACAGCAUAGAAUUAUUGAGUUACAACAAAAUCUGUGAUAUGUUUUAUUGAGUAUGUGGAUAAGUCCAUUACAGCCAUAUGUAAAAUAAAGUUGUAAUUGGUCAGUAUGGCCAAAAAUCAAAAUGACCAACCUAUGUUAUGCAAAGAUGUGUCAUGUCAAAUUGUACCAAAGUCUGAGUAAUUUGAUGAUAUACAUGACAAAUUAAUUUAUGACCAUAGUUUAAAGAGGUGUUUCUAGUAGGUGUUUCUAGUAGUCAGUAUGGCUAAGAAUUGGAAGGCUGACUAAACUUGCGCAGCAAUCUCUCAUAAUAAAUUCAACAAAAGUCUGUUUGAUAUAUUCACUUAUCACCUGACAUAAAGUAGGCCUUUUAAUCAUUCAAUUUUACCAGCUGCUCAGUUACUGAGUGACAGACAUGACCUCCAGAUAAAAUAUUCUUUUUUUGACAUUGUAAAUAAUGUCUGAUAAUUACUGUUUAUGUAGUAUCAAAUCAGAUUCUGUUGCAUUAUAGACCAUAUUACAGUAGUUAACAAUUGUUCAUUAUUUCAUUAUUGGUAUUGUAAGAUAUUAUUACCACCAUUUCAAGAAUGUAACCAGUCUGUAAAAUAAGCAUAAUGGAUAUAUACAACAAAAAUAUUUGAUAAAAUAUCUUUGGAUGAAAAAAUAACUUGGUGUAAAAUAAAGCGGACCUAUAGUUGUUGGUGUCUAAUGUGGACAAAAGAAUGUGGGAUACAUUGUUCAUGGUCCAGAAAUAGUGGAUGAAGUGUACUGAAUGCAUAUAGCUGUAUGCACUCAUAAGAAACAUUGAGAGAGACACAUUGCAGUUGGGAAGAGUACUUGAAACAUUUAUAGAGAUAAAGAAUGUAAUGAGAAAAAGUAGUCAGUCAUACAUCAGAUUCAGAUAAAUUCAUCUUCUCAAUUGUUUUCAUUAUAAUGCUUUACAAUGCAGCAACAUAUUUUACUGUCUUAUUAUGUUAAGAACUGGUUUUGUCAGUGUCUCUAGCAGAGGGAAGUCUCUGUGUGACUUGUAGCCCUCUGCUAUUUUAUGCCUUGGUAUCCCUUUAAAAUUAUCCUAUGCAAUUGAAAGUUGUAUUUCAGACAUGUUUUUUUUUUUUUACUAUUUAUAUAAGACAUACUUAGUUGUUUAACAGUUUUAAAACAGAAAAUCUGUAGCUAUUUUGCAAACUUAAAUUCUCAUUUAAUGCUUCUUGCUGGGAUGAUAGAUUUGAACACAAAAUUGAGAAUAACCUUAAAUGGAGGGAAUCUACAUUUGUGAUAGUGAGAUAGGGCUGCAGAAAUUAAGUGUUAAAUGAAGUAAAACAUUGAAUGGAUAUUCCACUGUUUGAAAUUGCUGAAAAUUUAUAUGAUCAUUUAAUUCUCUGUGCUGUCUGUUUAUAUACCUUAUCAUGUCUGUUACCAUUUUGGGAUGUUGCACACAUGUUACUACUUGGAUCUUGUGAUGUUACAGGGUAACACGUUUGUGUGUAUUUAAGUGAUGGGCGGAUAUGAUGGUGCUGAUCAUGAUGGUCACGUGGUUUAAGGCAUGUACUCGUACUGUCUUGAAAUGCUUAAACCAUGGAUUUGAAAUUUCAGAAACUAAUUUUGAAUUGCAGCAGGCCAGAGGGCAUAAUUCAUGAAGCUGAAGGGAGGGAACAUAAUUACAUGACAGGAGAGUACAUGAUGAUAAACAAUUGCACCUUCUAAUUUAGUAAGUACUUAUGUACCAUAUCUUAAUAUACACACAAAAAAACCAAGAAAUUUAAUUGUAUGUACAAAUGGUAAACUAAGUACAGUAAACUUCCCAUUUAAAUUUUCUUUGGGGAGUAGUAGAUUUGAACACUAAAAUGAUGAAAAUGUACAUGGAGGAAUUCAGUGCUGAGAUGUUUGACUUUGGAUCAUUGAAAUUGAAUGUUAAAUGAGGGAAGACCUUAAAUUGAGGAACAUUAAAUGGAAGCUUUACUGUAGAGGCCUCUUGCAGCAUCAUACAACACACAUUUCACAAUAAAUCUUUCUAGCGUAAAAUUUCUCUAAAGAAAGUAAUAAAGGGAAUGUGGUUAGAUCUAAAAGUUUGUGAUGAUGGUAUAUUGAUACAGUUGACUUUUUGGAUGUUUUCCAUUGUCCUGUUUUUAAUUUAAAAAUGGGACGAUGGUUAAUGUCCAAAAAGUCAGUAAUUGUAAAGGGAAUUUGGGUUUUCACAUUCAUGAUACUACAAUUUUUUUUACUGAAUCUGAACAUUUUGCAUUUUUUUGUGUGUAUGUAGAAAUCAGCGUAAUGAGAUUUUGUCAUACAUCAGGUCUAUUCAAUUAGUGGUCUGCAAGACUGUUCAUUUGUACACGAGUUUAUGAGGAAAGAACUGUAAAUUUUAUUCUUUUAUGUUUGGGUUCAUAAAAUAUUUAAUAAUCAUGUACAUGAAUAUUAUAAACUGAUUUUUAAGUCUAAUUCUAUGUUUUAAGUAUUAUACUGAUAUAACAAAAGCCUGAGACUAUAGGCAUUGGCCCUCCCAAUCUAUGAAUCUUCCCAGAUUGGCCAGCUCAGUGUAACAGGUUAUUGAAUAGCCCUAUCACAGGUAAAUGCAGAAAGGGACUGAUUUUCAUCAUGGCCUUAUUAAACUUUGUGAAGUUAUUCUUGCAGUUGUAUGACACCAAACUUUCGAACAGGUAGGUAUGUAGCAACAUACGAAUACAAACCAAAAAUUGUUUUAUUCAGGUGACAGAAGGCUACAAUUCCAGUCUCCGCAGUUCCUCAUGAUGUACCUUGUUUGCUGUAUUAACUUUUCUUUUUAAUUUGUGGGAUAGGAUGAGACUGAGUCCACUUAGUAUGUUGGAGGCUGGUGCAAUGGACCCACAAGGAUGAACUCAGGGAAGAACUUCCCACUUUUACAGUACUGGCAACAUAAUAUUUUAUAGAUACAUUUACUACUUGAUAUGGAGCUUUGGUAGCCGGAGUGUGCUCACGUAUGGGAUGAGUGUUACUUAAAUAUUUGUAGUUCAUGGAAUCUUAUCAAAGAACAUAAACUGCUGCAUUAUGGAGCUCAAACUGACAUGUUAAUUUUGUGCCAUUGUUUCUUACUACCAUGACGUCUAUUUGUGUGCAGCAGCCUUUGUAAACUAUACUGUAGGGAAUGGGCAGUACCAGUGGAUGAACGUCACAGUUCAGUUUUCAGAAUUCUUCCAGGAUAAAUGUUUAUAACUUAAGAAACUAACUGGAUAUUGUAGAGUUUAACUGUGGCUAAUUUUUGGAUUGUUAUACUAAAAUACCUGCCAUUUUUAAACUAUUGUAUCAGAUUUUGAACUGUGAGAGUAUGUGAUUAAAUACUGAUGAUGAGGGUGGAGGUUAAUUUACUGUGAUAUAUAUGUUCUGCCUAUCAGUGUAGUAUUAAGAAUUUCUAUUAUGAAAAUUAACAUUUGAUGGAUACUUAAGUUUUCAUGUAGUUGCCAGCAAGAAGACAGUAUCCAUAUGUCAGAAUGAACAGUGAUAUUGGUGUUACCAAAUUGGAUCAUUGUUAAUUUUACAUAGUAGUUAACCAUGAAUCUGAAAAUAUCAGAAACAUGGCAUGAGGUUAAGUGUCACUGAAUAUUCCUGUACUUGGAACAUGGAAUUUUCUUCAUGCUUUAGUUCACAGUGCUCCUGCAUGAAGCAUGAGGUUAAUUCAAGUUCAGAAUUGCAUUUUCAGUUAUACUGAUUCAUAGUAUGGCACAUUUUAAGAACAGCAGAUUUUAUAUGCAUUCUUAGUAAUGUAGAUAUAUUUAAAUUAAUGUUAUAUAAGAUAAGAUAAUAGACAACAUUUUGUUUUCUGAUAAUAGGCUACAUGUUUUUAAAACCAUUUUAGCCCCUUUGUAUCAUAAUGAGAUUGAAAACUUUAUAGCACCCCGACUUGAAGGUCAAAGAUUAUUAAACAGUUUUUAACAUUGUAUUGAACAUCUUCCAAACACUGUCCUGAUACACUAUACUUAAUAUCAGUAAUUUGUAUAUGCGUACUGGUAGAAUUCAGAAAACUGAUCAACCAUUGCUUGUUUUCUCAAGGAUGAUCAUAGAAAGCAAAUGCAUUAGAUCUUCAUGCAGAUACAUGACAGUCUAGUCAGGAAAGCUGAUUGUUGUCAUUGAAUGAAAAUGGAAUGGGAAAUUUGUGAUAGCACAGGCUACAUGUUGAUAAUAUUG